UUUCUCUGGCGGUUGCUUCGGUCUAAUGGACCGCGGUCGUCCGGCGGCAAGACGCUUUUAAAUACAAGGCUACUCUCAAAAUCGACCGGCCAUGUUGGUUUGGACACACAUUCGCAUCAGUUCGUCGCUCAAUCGCGAGUUACAGCCUGCAGUUUGCUAGCUAGCAAAGUCAUCGACUACCAUCGUUUAAAUACCUUAACCGGUUAUGCUCUGGCCAUCUUCACCCAAGAGACCUACUGUUGGUCAAUUGUUUUGGCUUUAAAGGUAAAUGCAUUGUUAGUCACACUGUCUAGUCACUGGGCCAAAAGGAAAAUAAUAUUGAAAAGAGUUGAGAGGGACAAACAGGACAUUCACUUGAAUCACUACAUGCUACAGAAGUUGCAUCGAUUCCAGAAAACCAGGAAAAUGUUGAGCCAUCUGUAGACUUCAGAGCUGAACCAGGUUUCUCCCCAGUAAUCCAGACUCCACUUCACAGAGCCAAGAGUUUGAGUACAAGGCACUUGACUUUCUGGAUAAAAGGUGUCGAGGUGUGUUGUACAUAUCAUUAGCUUUGCACAGUUCAAUUAUUGUUUCAUUACUGAAUAUGCAAUCUCUGCAGUGAAAUUAAAGCUGUUAUGUUUGUUCCCCCAGCUCGUCAAGUACUAAGCUUUACACCACCAGCAGCAAAUUUACACUGGCAGCAUAUGGGUGAAAACGCUGGAUGCAUGUAAUACGUUGCGCUAAACUAAGUUUUACAUUUAAGUCCAAUUCAUUAAAUGUAUGCAAUUACUUCAAACAUAUUUUUACGUCAAUGAUUAUCAAUAGGAGAAAGUAAUCACUUUGUUAUUGGCCCUUGGACGCCCCUGGCAUCUCGUGUACAGCACAAAGUUUUCAGCUAUGAAGAUUUCCAGAGACUCCAGAAUGAAAACCAAGCCCUGAGGGAAUGCAAUGCACAAGCAGCUUCGGAUGACAGCGGCUCACUUCAAGAGCAAGUGAAGCAAGUAGGGACAAUGUUGAAGACGUUUGCUCUCACUGGGCAAUCAGGUGCGUUACCUAAAAGGAGCAUCGGACCGUGAAGGCAGAAAAAGGCGCCGCACAGCUGAGAAGGACCCACAGCCGACCCCUAAACCUAGGCUACUGACACCCCAGCAUCACUGAACUGGAACACUUUCUUUAUCCUGCAGUCAGUAACAUCAAGAAGCCAGAAGUGCCAGACUACACUCACCAAAUCCACCCUGUUUUUUUUGGUAUUUUAACUUUAGUAUUGGCUUAUUUCAUUCCGUCUUAACGAUUCUAUUAUAGUUUGUAAAUCCUUUUUCAUACCUGUUACUUGAUAUUGCACAUUAACUAGUACCAAAAUUCUACUUUCAUUUCAUCAGUGUGCUUAACUGUUAUUCUAUUAAUAAUAGCUUGGAAAUACUAUUUCAUACCUCUGAUACUUGAUAUUGCACAUUACCUGGUACCAAAUAUUCUACUUACUCUGUUUUUAACAUCAGCAUUUUUCAUUCCGUCACAGUGCUUAACUGUUAUUCUAUUGUUAAAUAUAGCUUGUAAAUCCUUGUGCCACAGGUCAGCAUUGCAUUUAUAAUGGUCUGUUCUACUACUGUUUUUACCUCCGUAUUUUUAUAUAAAUAUAUAUGUCAAGUUUUGUUUAUCACAGAUACAAGAGACAGAUCUUAUUGCAGCACGGUGUAAAUCUUGUGCUACAGGUCAGCAAUGCCAUUAUAAUGGUAUAUUCUACUCUAGAGCUUUACUCUAAAUUAUUACCACUUUUCCUAUUGUUAGAAAUGGCUUGAAAAUGUGAUGUUAUACCUCGAUUUAUUUGGUAUCCUGCAUGUUCUUUGGUACCAAAUAUCCUCAUUACUUGUUAUGUUUACUGGUAAUUAUUUUCAUCCCAGAGCUGACCUUUUUAUAUUAUUAACAAUUAUUGUGUUUGUGUUAUAAUUUGCUCGUAUUGCUGUUUUUUUUUAACCAAAAUUUAAUUGGAAACCUGCAUGUUCUGUAGUGUGUAUUUAUAUGUAUAUUUUUUUCUGCCUGUUAUUUAUUUCAGUGAUCUGACACAUCUUGUUUGAAUGACAGUUACUGUACUUUGAAAUGUGGAAUUAAAACACC
ensembl:lncRNA